UUGGUGAGCCGUUGGUGAGGAAGUGUCGGGUAUCGCUGAUGUCAUGCACUAGCUCCGCCCCCAUGUACCUGUACAGCAGGAAUUCAGCAGGUGGGAGCAUGCUCAGCUAGAGCCAUUCCUUCUCAUGCUCGGCCGAGCUGACAAACAACAGCCGAGUGCUGGACCUUCAAAAAGAAAAAGCAGACAUGGAGGAGAUGACGAUAUGGGAGCAGCACACGGUCACGUUAUC